rnacentral:lncRNA from 1 species
GUAAAAUGAGAGUCUUAAUUUUCAUUCAUGAGUUACUCGUUAAAUAUUACCAAAGCCUAUAUUCUUAUACAGAUAUUUUACAUAAUAUAUAGUGUAGAUUAUAGUGUUUGUGCAUUUGGUGAUGUGUUACACAGUAGAGGGAGCCAUGAAAUGAGGGAUAGGGCUUGGACUUUCUCAGGUUUCAUGGACUCAUGGGGAUAGCAGGCAUAGUUGAAGAUACCUCUGUUAGCUGACCACUGUUAUCAGAUACAGACAGCACACAGAAAGCUAAUCUGAUAUACUAACUGCAGUGCUCUGAGAAGGUGUUGCAAACAGAUGGAAAUAUCCAUUGCCACUGGGGAAGGGAAUGUCAGGCAUUUGUAAACGACAGCAGCUGUGAUGAUGAGCAAUUAGAACCUGUCACCUGUUAGGACCUGACUGAGCACAGCAUCGAUUUUCCCAUUAAGGGAGGUCCUGUCACCUUUUUCAUUUAUAAAUGCAAAUCGAGGGGUUACAGAGGUGGUUUGCUGGGUAAAGCGCUUGCUGCUCAAGUCUGGGAGCUCAAGUGUGCAUUCUCAGAUGCCAUGUAAAUGUGGCUCAGUUAAGGGCAGCCAGCCUAUAAUCCCAGGGCUCAGGAAAUAGAGGCAGGCAGAAUCCCUUGAACAAACUGGCCAGCUAAACUAGCCAAAUGAGGGAUCUCUGGGUUUGAGUGAAAGACCCUGUAUUGAUACAUAAGGUGGAGGUAGAAGUGAGUGGGGAAGGCAUUCUGUGGUUGCCAAGAUGAGUGAUACAUACACAUAUCUGCAGGGGUGAGCACCACACAUACAUAUCUGCAGGGGUGAACUCCACACAUACACAUCUUCAGGGAUGAGCACUACACAUACCUAAAGGGAUGAGCACCACACAUACCUGCAGGGGUGAGCACCACACAUACAGAUCUGCAGGGGUGAGUGCCACACAUACCUUCAGGAGUGCGCUCCAAACAUACCUUAAGGGGUGAGCACCACACAUACCUGCAGGAGUGAGCAUCUCACACACACAUACAUGCAGGGGUGAGUGCCACACAUAACUGAAGGGGUGAGCACACCAGGGGCCCCCUACACACACACACACACACACACACACACACACACACACACACACAAAGAAAAUAAAUGCAAAACAAAUUUUGAAACUAAGUGGGUCAGACAAUCCCAGCACUUCUGAGGCUGUGCCAGGUAGGUUUUUGUGAGUUUGAGACCAACCUGAUACACAUAUAGGGAAAGCACUGUUUAAAAAGAAAGAAAGAAAGAAAGAAAGAAAGAAAGAAAGAAAGAUA